UCUGUGAAGCUCAAGUCGUGCUCUUCAGAAAACUCGAGAACAAACCUAGACGAGGAUAAUUUUCUAUCAGUCAAAUGAUUCACAAUGCAUGUUACAACUAUGAGUUAAUUUUCCCGUAAAAAUCAAGGUGUUUUUACAAAGGAGGAACAUAAUUUCUGAGCCUAACAAUAUAUGGCCAAGCGGUACAACACUGGCACCAACAUCAGUCUGUGCGUGUGUACUGAGUAGUGACUACGUGGACAGGCUAUGAAGACUCUUUACUAUGGCGGCUGGCAGCAGGAGCGUCAAGGAAGUGGAGGGAAAUCUAUCUGGGGACGAGAUAGAUUGGCCGGAAGACGUCCUCGCCAGGGAGUGGGGCCAGGCUGGACACUCAAGGAAACAGAAGCCUGACACGUUACCAAUCAAAUCAUAAAUAUUUAAUACCAAGAUUUUGUCUCACAAGAAUGGCUGAUCCAUCGUGCAUCUCCUCGCUGGAAUUAAUAAGCUGUGCGGGAAGCCUGGCCCUGCUGCUCGCCCCUCCUGCGUGCCUCCGUGCCUCUGCCUUGCAUCCCCUGCCUCUCCUACGAUGCUAGUAUGUUGAGAGAGGCUGAGCAUCGGAAAGGAUGCGGUUUGGAGUGAAGUGCUGCUCUCCUCCCUCAAGUAGAGUCCUCAAAACAAAGUCAAAAGUAUGAGCGGGUGUUUGAUGUUGAAGGUUCACGAUAAAGAAAUUAGUAAUGGUCUUUUUUUUUUCUCUGUUGAAAAGGGGAGCGAGUUAUUAAGGGAACUAGGGAUGAGACAUUGAGAUUUCCAGGAAUGGCAGGCUGGGUCGCGUUUCCGUUAUAGUGUCAGUGCGGGAUGUUAGCGGAGCGGCGAGCAGCACGUGGCGUGAUCAAUACUUCUCAGCAUAGACUGUUCACGGCUCGCUCCUCUCCGGCGCGCGAGACUUGUCCAUAAAACCAAAUACAGACUAGUUUUAGAUGAUGACCGCAAAAAGCAGAAUUCUCGACUCAAGAAACUAUGCCAUUCGCCUCCCUGAUCAUUAUAUGCACUGCCCUCGCUGAUGACCCGCCUGCUUCCUGCCAGUCCGGCGCGGCGACGCUGGAGGCACAGGGCGGCAGCAGAAUGUUUAGGUGCGAUGAGCGAAACUUCUUGAAUAACCACGACGUGUGACGCGGUGGGCCUGACAAACGUUUGGAGUGCUAGAGUUAGAUACUCAUGAAUCCUUUGUUUGAGGCAGUAAAUGCCAUUGUGUGGGGCGCACCGGGUCGCCGCAUUCACCACUCUCCGAGGUACAGUUCACCAAUGUUGACCUGGAAAAUUGGAGUUUUGUGUGCUGCUUUUUUUUCUAUUUUGUUUUUUAGGUGGAUGGAAUUGACAGAAAAUAUGUGAACGUGAUUUUUUUUGUCUUUACACACACACACACACACACACCAAGCAGGACACGGGGCGCCUCAGGGGACGGUAUCUGGCUAGUGACGAAGAGGAACCAGCCACACGAGAGGCAGAUGGACGGCCGGACUGAUAAGACUGAGGAGGAGGAGGAGGAGGAGGAGGAGGAGGAGGAGGGCGAAGCGGGAGGCAGGCGGCGCGGUGGUGGUAUGUUGGAGGGCAGCAGCAGCAAGGCAGACACGGCGGAGUGACCAGGGAGGAGCAGCGGGAGUGCGGUCAGCGGCGACGGUCCCGGGGGUCCUUCAGCACCGAGGAAAUGGGAGUCUAUACGGUUGGGAAAAUUCACCCUUAUUACGUUUAGGAUCACUGAGGGGUUAGUCCUGUGUGAUCUCGGCCCUGUGAGCUUCUGGGGACGUCUCACUGGAACAUCUUACUGACGAAGGGAGGGAAAAAAAAGUAGAAUUACAUAAAAGCCUGAAUUCGUUUUUAUGAAGGCCGCUAUCUCCUCUGGUCAGGUUGCAGAACGGUAAAGGAUCCAAAGCCUUUUAUAUGGUACGGGAAUGCUUUUUUCCUACUAAGGGUAUGGGAUUUGGCUCUCCAGAUGUCACUCUCCCGGAGCUCUUAUCUCUCCAGCGCAGCGAGGUAUGUGGCACGGCGCAAAAGAAGGAACUGGAGAUACGAGGGACAUUAUUAGCAACGAUCCAUUGGUUCUCAGGCCGUGGGCAACGAGUGUUAGGUCUUUCCAUGAGAACCUGCCCCUGAUGCUGGCCACUCGAGUAGGAGCCGCCGCUACUGGACCUUCUCCUCCUCCUCCUCCUCGGCAAAUGUGUAGUAAUUUCACUCUUUCCCUGAUGUCUCGUUUGUGCGAUCUAUAAUUCAGUGUCGUGACUUGCUCUAGGGAACACGCCCUCUCCCUGUAUUGCUCUUUUUUCUUUAAUUUCUUUU